ACGCUAGCGGCAGGCUUAACACAUGCAAGUCGAGGGGCAGCGCGGGGUAGCAAUACUCUGGCGGCGACCGGCGGAAGGGUGCGUAACACGUGAGCGACUUGCCCGUCACAGGGAGAUAACCGGCGGAAACGGCGACUAAUAUCCCAUAUGAUCCGAAGUUACAUGGCGUCGGAUUGAAAGAUUCAUCGGUGACGGAUAGGCUCGCGGGACAUUAGCUGGACGGCGGGGCAACGGCCCACCGUGGCGACGAUGUCUAGGGGUUCUGAGAGGAAGAUCCCCCACACUGGAACUGAGACACGGUCCAGACUCCUACGGGAGGCAGCAGUGAGGAAUAUUGGUCAAUGGGCGGAAGCCUGAACCAGCCAUGCCGCGUGAAGGAAUAAGGCCCUAUGGGUCGUAAACUUCUUUAGACGCAGAGCAAUAAGGGUCUCGCGAGGCCCGAUGAGAGUAUGCGUAGAAUAAGCAUCGGCUAACUCCGUGCCAGCAGCCGCGGUAAUACGGGGGAUGCGAGCGUUAUCCGGAUUUAUUGGGUUUAAAGGGUGCGUAGGCGGCAAGGUAAGUCAGCGGUGAAAGACCAGGGCUCAACUCUGGAAGUGCCGUUGAUACUGUCUGGCUAGAAUGAUUCCGCCGUGGGAGGAAUGAGUAGUGUAGCGGUGAAAUGCAUAGAUAUUACUCAGAACACCGAUUGCGAAGGCAUCUCACGAGGGGUUCAUUGACGCUGAGGCACGAAAGCGUGGGGAUCGAACAGGAUUAGAUACCCUGGUAGUCCACGCAGUAAACGAUGAUGGCUAACUGUCGGGCCUAUUGGGUUCGGCGGCCAAGCGAAAGCGAUAAGCCAUCCACCUGGGGAGUACGACCGCAAGGUUGAAACUCAAAGGAAUUGACGGGGGCCCGCACAAGCGGAGGAACAUGUGGUUUAAUUCGAUGAUACGCGAGGAACCUUACCCAGGCUCGAACGGCAUCUGAAUUGUCCAGAGAUGGACAAGUCUUCGGACAGAUGUCGAGGUGCUGCAUGGUUGUCGUCAGCUCGUGCCGUG
rnacentral:rRNA from 1 species